rnacentral:rRNA from 1 species
GAUGAACGCUAGCGGGAGGCCUAACACAUGCAAGCCGAGCGGGAUUUGAGACUAGCUUGCUAGUCUUAAUGAGAGCGGCGUACGGGUGCGGAACACGUGUGCAACCUGCCUUUAUCUGGGAGAUAGCCUUUCGAAAGGAAGAUUAAUAUCCCAUAAUAUAAUGAUUGGCAUCAAUUAUUAUUGAAAGCUCCGGCGGAUAGAGAUGGGCACGCGCAAGAUUAGAUAGUUGGUGAGGUAACGGCUCACCAAGUCGAUGAUCUUUAGGGGGCCUGAGAGGGUGAUCCCCCACACUGGUACUGAGACACGGACCAGACUCCUACGGGAGGCAGCAGUGAGGAAUAUUGGACCAUGGGUGAAAGCCUGAUCCAGCCAUCCCGCGUGAAGGAUUAAGGACCUAUGGUUUGUAAACUUCUUUUCUACAGGGAUAAACCUACUCUCGUGAGAGUAGCUGAAGGUACUGUAGGAAUAAGCACCGGCUAACUCCGUGCCAGCCGCCGCAGUAACAC